AUUGAACGCUGGCGGCAGGCCUAACACAUGCAAGUCGAACGAGUGGCGGACGGGUGAGUAAUGUCUGGGAAACUGCCUGAUGGAGGGGGAGAACUACUGGAAACGGUAGCUAAUACCGCAUACCAUCAGAUGUGCCCAGAUGGGAUUCGCUAGUAGGUGGGGUAAAGGCUCACCUAGGCGACGAUCCCUCGCUGGUCUGAGAGGAGGACCAGCCACACUGGAACUGAGACACGGUCCCGACUCCUACGGUAGGCAGCAGUGGGGAAUAUUGCACAAUGGGCGCAAGCCUGCUGCAGCCCUGCCGCGUGUAUUAAGAAGGCCUUCGGGUUGUAAAGUACUUUCAGCUGGGAGGCGUUACCCUCAGAAGAAGCACCGGCUAACUCCGUGCCAGCAGCCGCGGUAAUAC
rnacentral:rRNA from 1 species